rnacentral:rRNA from 1 species
CGGUAAUACGUAGGGUGCGAGCGUUAAUCGGAAUUACUGGGCGUAAGGUGCGCGCAGGCGGAUUGUUAGGCAAGAUGUGAAAUUCCCGGGCUUAACCUGGGAAUGGCAUUUUGAACUGGCAGUCUAGAGUGUGUCAGAGGGGGGUGGAAUUCCACGUGUAGCAGUGAAAUGCGUAGAUAUGUGGAGGAACACCAAUGGCGAAGGCAGCCCCCUGGGAUAACACUGACGCUCAUGUACGAAAGCGUGGGUAGCAAACAGGAUUAGAUACCCUGGUAGUCCACGCCCUAAACGAUGUCAACUGGUUGUUGGGGGAGUGAAAUCCCUUAGUAACGAAGCUAACGCGUGAAGUUGACCGCCUGGGGAGUACGGUCGCAAGAUUAAA